rnacentral:rRNA from 1 species
AUUGAACGCUGGCGGCAUGCCUUACACAUGCAAGUCGAACGGAAGCGGGGACUUCGGUCCGCCGGCGAGUGGCGAACGGGUGAGUAAUGUAUCGGAACGUACCAUUCAGCGGGGGAUAACUAUCCGAAAGGAUAGCUAAUACCGCAUAUUCUGUGAGCAGGAAAGCAGGGGAUCGCAAGACCUUGCGCUGAUUGAGCGGCCGAUAUCAGAUUAGCUAGUUGGUGAGGUAACGGCUCACCAAGGCUACGAUCGGUAGCGGGUCUGAGAGGAUGAUCCGCCACGCUGGGACUGAGACACGGCCCAGACUCCUACGGGAGGCAGCAGUGGGGAAUUUUGGACAAUGGGCGCAAGCCUGAUCCAGCCAUACCGCGUGCAGGAAGAAGGCCUUCGGGUUGUAAACUGCUUUUGUCAGGGAAGAAAUCUUCUGGGCUAAUACCCUGGGAGGAUGACGGUACCUGAAGAAUAAGCACCGGCUAACUACGUGCCAGCCGCCGCGGUAACAC